CCUACGGGAGGCUGCAGUGGGGGAUAUUGCACAAUGGGGGAAACCCUGAUGCAGCGACGCCGCGUGUGGGAAGACGGUCCUCUGGAUUGUAAACCACUGUCCCCAGGGACGAAGAUGACGGUACUUGGGGAGGAAGCUCCGGCUAACUACGUGCCAGCAGCCGCGGCAAUAUGCAGGGAGCGAGCGUUGUCCGGAAUUACGGGGUGUAAGGGGAGCGUAGGCGGGACUGCAUGUUGGGUGUCAAGUCUACCGGCUCAACCGGUAGCCGCACUCCAAACUGCAGUUCUUGAGUGAAGUAGAGGCAGGCGGAAUUCGUAGUGUAGCGGUGAAAUGCGUAGAUAUGAGGAGGAACACCAGUGGCGAAGGCGGCCUGCUGGGCUUUAACUGACGCUGAGGCUCGAAAGUGUGGGGAGCAAACAGGAUUAGAUACCCCAGUAGUC
rnacentral:rRNA from 1 species